AUUGAACGCUGGCGGCAGGCCUAACACAUGCAAGUCGAGCGAGCGGCGGACGGGUGAGUAAUGUCUGGGAAACUGCCUGAUGGAGGGGGAUAACUACUGGAAACGGUAGCUAAUACCGCAUACCAUCAGAUGUGCCCAGAUGGGAUUAGCUAGUAGGUGGUGUAACGGUCUACCUAGGCGACGAGCCCUCGCUGGUCUGAGAGGAUGACCAGCCACACGGGAGCGGAGACACGGUCCAGAAUCCUAGGGGAGGCAGCAGUGGGAAAUAUUACACAAUGGGCGCAAGCCUGAUGCAGCCAUGCCGGGUGUGUGAAGAAGGCCUUCGGGUUGUAAAGCAAUUUCAGCGGGGAGGCGUUACCCGCAGAAGAAGCACCGGCUAACUCCGUGCCAGCAGCCGCGGUAAUUC
rnacentral:rRNA from 1 species